rfam:Leersia perrieri chromosome 9, whole genome shotgun sequence.
AAUGUUUGAUGCCGUUGACUUUUAAGCGAAUGUUUGACCAUUCGUCUUAUUCAAAAAAAUUAUCCAAAUGUUAUUUAUUUUGUUACAAGUUGUUUUAUUACAAAAGAAAUUUUAAGCAUGACUUAUAUUUAUAAAUAUUUGGAUAAAUUUUGUAAAUAAGAUGAAUGGUCAAACGUGUGCUAAAAAAUCAACGGUGUCAAACAUU